rnacentral:tRNA from 1 species
GGCGACGUCGCCAAGUGGUAAGGCAAGGGUCUGCAAAACCCUCACCGUGGGUUCGAGUCCCACCGUCGCCUCCA